UGAUAGAGCUAGACCAUCGGAG
rnacentral:miRNA from 1 species